AUUGCAGUCUCCGCCAUCAGAUACCUUUUUCAUUCCUAAUCUCUAUGGCUUGCAGCGUUGGACUUCCCUGGACAGUUGGAAAGGGGUGAGUGAUUCAUUCAUCCUUACCAGAAGGUGAUCUCUGCUGGUCUUGUCUUGUUUCCAACAGGUGGCAGUGGAGUUUUACAUCCCUCCCGAGCGGUGCAAGGACUCUGCUGAGGCUCUUGGGGAACACAGCAGGAACCCACAGCCAGAGAUGGACGCCAGGAUCCGCUCCUUCCUGUGUCUGGCAAGCUCUGUUGACCACUGAGGUCAUUCCCACGCUUGCAGUGGCUGAAAAUGGACGCCUGAUGGUAUCUAUGAUGCCCCAAAUGCAAUCUUGUAAGGUUUGGCCAAGUGUGGUGGGAAAGGAAGAGGAUUGCAGAGACGACCACCGGGUGCCAUUUGCACUUCCUGACCUCCCUGGGUGGUAGCGUUGGAAGUGCCUGGACCCUUGGAAAGGGCUAAGUGAUUCCUUCAUUAUUACCUGAAUGCAGUUUGUGUUCAACAGGUGUCGGUGGAGAACUGCGCCCUUUUGAUGGGCGCAAAGAGUGUAUUGUGACUCUAGGUGGGCAAAACAGGAAUGCAGAG
ensembl:lncRNA